rnacentral:rRNA from 1 species
CCUACGGGUGGCUGCAGUGAGGAAUAUUGGUCAAUGGACGAGAGUCUGAACCAGCCAAGUAGCGUGAAGGAUGACUGCCCUAUGGGUUGUAAACUUCUUUUAUAUGGGAAUAAAAUGUUCCACGUGUGGGAUUUUGUAUGUACCAUAUGAAUAAGGAUCGGCUAACUCCGUGCCAGCAGCCGCGGUAAUACGGAGGAUCCGAGCGUUAUCCGGAUUUAUUGGGUUUAAAGGGAGCGUAGGUGGAUUGUUAAGUCAGUUGUGAAAGUUUGCGGCUCAACCGUAAAAUUGCAGUUGAAACUGGCAGUCUUGGGUACAGUAGAGGUGGGCGGAAUUCGUGGUGUAGCGGUGAAAUGCUUAGAUAUCACGAAGAACUCCGAUUGCGAAGGCAGUUCACUGGACUGCAACUGACACUGAGGCUCGAAAGUGUGGGUAUCAAACAGGAUCAGAUACCCUUGUAGUC